rnacentral:rRNA from 1 species
GAUGAACGCUGGCGGCGUGCCUAAUACAUGCAAGUCGAGCGAACAGACGAGGAGCUUGCUCCUCUGACGUUAGCGGCGGACGGGUGAGUAACACGUGGAUAACCUACCUAUAAGACUGGGAUAACUUCGGGAAACCGGAGCUAAUACCGGAUAAUAUAUUGAACCGCAUGGUUCAAUAGUGAAAGACGGUUUUGCUGUCACUUAUAGAUGGAUCCGCGCCGCAUUAGCUAGUUGGUAAGGUAACGGCUUACCAAGGCGACGAUACGUAGCCGACCUGAGAGGGUGAUCGGCCACACUGGAACUGAGACACGGUCCAGACUCCUACGGGAGGCAGCAGUAGGGAAUCUUCCGCAAUGGGCGAAAGCUUGACGGAGCAACGCCGCGUGAGUGAUGAAGGUCUUCGGAUCGUAAAACUCUGUUAUUAGGGAAGAACAAAUGUGUAAGUAACUAUGCACGUCUUGACGGUACCUAAUCAGAAAGCCACGGCUAACUACGUG